AGAGAUGUAGCAUAAAAUGAAUGCGUUUCAUUUACUCUGAAAAAGAUCUUUAGACAAAGCGUUUCUU
rnacentral:tRNA from 1 species